UGUAUAAGAGACAGCAGCAGCCGCGGUAAUACGUAUGUCACAAGCGUUAUCCGGAUUUAUUGGGCGUAAAGCGCGUCUAGGUGGUUAUGUAAGUCUGAUGUGAAGAUGCAGGGCUCAACUCUGUAUUGCGUUGGAAACUGUGUAACUAGAGUACUGGAGAGGUAAGCGGAACUACAAGUGUAGAGGUGAAAUUCGUAGAUAUUUGUAGGAAUGCCGAUGGGGAAGCCAGCUUACUGGACAGAUACUGACGCUAAAGCGCGAAAGCGUGGGUAGCAAACAGGAUUAGAUACCCGCGUAGUCCCUGUCUCUUAUACA
rnacentral:rRNA from 1 species